GGGGAAUAUUGGACAAUGGGGGCAACCCUGAUCCAGCAAUGCCGCGUGUGUGAAGAAGGCCUUAGGGUUGUAAAGCACUUUAGGCUGGGAGGAAGACGUGUAGUUUAAGAGAUAAUACGUUUGACUGUACCGGCAGAAUAAGCACCGGCUAACUCUGUGCCAGCAGCCGCGGUAAUACAGAGGGUGCGAGCGUUAAUCGGAGUUACUGGGCGUAAAGGGCGCGUAGGCGGUUGAUUAAGUGAGAUGUGAAAUCCCUGGGCUUAACCUAGGAACUGCAUCUCAUACUGGUCAGCUAGAGUAUUGUAGAGGGUAGUGGAAUUUCCGGUGUAGCGGUGAAAUGCGUAGAGAUCGGAAGGAACACCAGUGGCGAAGGCGGCUACCUGGACAAAUACUGACGCUGAGGCGCGAAAGCGUGGGGAGCAAAC
rnacentral:rRNA from 1 species